UACGGAGGGGGCUAGCGUUGUUCGGAAUUACUGGGCGUAAAGCGCACGUAGGCGGAUUGGAAAGUUGGGGGUGAAAUCCCGGGGCUCAACCCCGGAACUGCCUUCAAAACUCCCAGUCUGGAGGUCGAGAGAGGUGAGUGGAAUUCCGAGUGUAGAGGUGAAAUUCGUAGAUAUUAGGAAGAACACCAGUGGCGAAGGCGGCUCACUGGCCCGGUACUGACGCUGAGGCGCGAAAGCUAGGGGAGCAAACAGG
rnacentral:rRNA from 1 species